CACCCGUUCCCAUGCCGAACACGGAAGUUAAGCUCUUCAGCGCCGAUGGUAGUUGGGGGUCUCCCCCUGUGAGAGUAGGACGCCGCCAAGC
rnacentral:rRNA from 2 species